rnacentral:lncRNA from 1 species
CUCUUCGUCUCUGUUAUAUCUCCUCUCCUGGUGACCUCAUCUGGUUACUGUAGAAUUUUGCCACUUGGCAGGACAAGCAGCAUUCUGAGAGAUCUAUGCGUGAAAUCAUCAGCAUUUGAAAAUUCCAGCUAUAAGAUAUGCAAUCAGGUGUCUCCUUAAUGACACCAGCUAUUCAACUGCAUCUACCUCCAGACCUUCAAGUGGCUUCUCAGAGAAUUUCAAGCCCAGUUCAUAGUCUGUUCUUUGUUGACAGAGUUCAACAAGCCCUGUGAGAAGGAGACUAGAGAAACACAGAAAAACGUUCAAGACUCCAUGAGGACCAUCUUCAAGCAUCUUACUCCUUUGAACAGUGGAUCUGUGUAUAAUAGGUGAAACCACAGAAUCAUCACAGAAUCAUAAAAUGGUUUGGGUUGAAAAAGACCUCAAAGACCAUCCUGUUCCAACCCCCUGCCAUGAGUAGGGUCACCAACCACUAAAUCAGGCAUUAGAUCAGGUUGCUCUGGUUCCCAUCCAACCUGGCUUUAAACACCUCUAGGGAUGAGGCAUCCACAUCUUCCCUGGAAAUCCCUAGGUGAGAAAUAAAACUUCCCUGGAAGCCAGCCUAAGUGCAAAGCUGAGCCCUUGAGUAAGAAAUUACUUCCACAAAACUCACUUGCAUCUACUCCAAGGCCUUUCUUCAAGCUCACCUUCUUUUGUACCUUAAUCACACGAUGUAUGAACUCCCUUUCUCAAAAGAACCCAACCAAUGCAACAAACACCAGUGAAAGGAAAAGGAGCAAAGAGCAAACAGCUUUUUCCAGUGAUGGGGACAACAUAAGAAGCAGUAUAAGCCCCUGCCUGAUACUCAGAGCACAAAACCCAGCAGGGAGAGGGGUAAUGGAAUUUGGAGGCAACUGGUGUUCAAAGACCUCGCUUGAAAUGGGCCUAUGCUAAUGCUGAGGGAAAGCUCUCUCCAAGAUCUGGGACAAUGCAUAACUGCACAGGUGGACCAAUGCUGCUUUGAUAAUGCCAAAGAAGAGAAGAAGUGGAGAUGGAGGAUGUUUGCCCAGAAUGACCCAUGUGAUGCUUCUCAUCUUCCUGCUCUCCAGAUCGUUCUGUAUGUGAUUUUAGUGGAGCAAAACGUUGCUGCAUUUUCCCUGGGAUGGGAGAACAGGACUCUAAUGUGUGUUUUCAUUUGGGACACAGUAAGAUGGGACACCUUUAUGAAGGAGCAGAAAUAUUCUGGGGCUGGAGCUGCAGAAACUGAUUGAGUGUGUGACUUGUCAUGCAUGGGGUGAUGCAUGACAUGUCUGUCAUCACCAGAGUGGACUUGCAGAUAUGUUCAAGGUGGCUGAUUCUGUUGGUGAUGCUUCUAUAGUCAGAUCUGCCUUGCCCAUGCAGUGUCAUAGAAUCAUAGAAUUGUUUGAGUUGGAAGGGACCCUUAAAGGCCAUCUGGUCCCACUCCCCUGCAGUGAACAGGGACACCCACAGCUCCACCAGGUGCUCAGAGCCCUAUCCAGCCUGACCUUGGGUGUCUGAAGGGAUGGGACAUCCACAACCUCUCUGGGCUGUCCUUAUUGUAAAAAAAAAAAAAAAAAAAAUUUCCUUGUAUCCAACCUAAAUCUCCCCUCUUUUAUUUGGAAACCAUUUCCCCCAGGCCCUGGGUCCUGGUCUUGACUUAAGUUGAAUGACAGCAGGAGGGACCCCAGCUCCCUUCUUUUAAACCUUCUCACUUAAGAAGGACCUUCUUAAACACAUCACACCAAAAGCCUAUUUGUGCCCUGGUUUACACAAAGGGAGCAAGCUAGAACAGGGAUGAGAUGCAGGAUGAGACCCUCUGCAAUGUCCCUGCAGGAAGACCUCAUGCCUCUGGGUGGUGGCCUUCAGCAAGGACAUGCUCUGAGCCCCUAGAAGAAUAGGUAGCCACAGAAGUGAUGUCAAUGCCUUCCCUGUCCCCUUUGGAGCACCAGUUCUCCAUCAGAUCCCCCAGCUCCUUGGCUGACCCCCAUCUCUUCUGGGCAGUGAUUUCUUGCUCUCUGCCUUGCCACCGAGGGCAGAUUUUUGCCCAGUGUUGUUCUUCUCUCUAAUCUCAGCCCUGUUCACUUUGGCAUCCAGAUACACAGUCACUACCAUCCAGUGCUUUGAUAUUUAUUCUGUGUUAUUCAAUUGGUUUGGGGAGGGUGGGGGCGUGGGCAGCUCUUUCAGUCCCCUUUUCUGUCCAUCAGUAUGGUGGCAAAUAGGCCGGAUGCAAGGAGCCCAUCACGAAAUUGCUACCAGGAGGAAAAGAAUUAAAAACAAGGAAAAAAAACCCAAGAGAGUAAAAUACAUAUUUUAUUAAAUGAAUGGGACGUACAGCUGUGGACAUGUCCCUCUCAUGGCAAAGCCCUCAAAUGAAUAAACUGCCCAUCACAGUGUCCCCCUCA